GAUGAACGCUGGCGGCGUGCCUAAUACAUGCAAGUCGAGCGAACGGACGAGAAGCUUGCUUUUCUGAUGUUAGCGGCGGACGGGUGAGUAACACGUGGAUAACCUACCUAUAAGACUGGGAUAACUUCGGGAAACCGGAGCUAAUACCGGAUAAUAUUUUGAACCGCAUGGUUCAAAAGUGAAAGACGGUCUUGCUGUCACUUAUAGAUGGAUCCACGCUGCAUUAGCUAGUUGGUAAGGUAACGGCUUACCAAGGCAACGAUGCAUAGCCGACCUGAGAGGGUGAUCGGCCACACUGGAACUGAGACACGGUCCAGACUCCUACGGGAGGCAGCAGUAGGGAAUCUUCCGCAAUGGGCGAAAGCCUGACGGAGCAACGCCGCGUGAGUGGUGAAGGUCUUCGGAUCGUAAAACUCUGUUAUUAGGGAAGAACAUAUGUGUAAGUAACUGUGCACAUCUUGACGGUACCUAAUCAGAAAGCCACGGCUAACUACGUG
rnacentral:rRNA from 1 species